rnacentral:rRNA from 1 species
UACGUAGGGGGCAAGCGUUGUCCGGAUUCAUUGGGCGUAAAGAGCGUGUAGGCGGCCAGGUAGGUCGGUUGUGAAAACUGGAGGCUCAACCUUCAGAGGUCGACCGAAACCAUCUGGCUAGAGUCCGGGAGAGGAGAGUGGAAUUCCUGGUGUAGCGGUGAAAUGCGCAGAUAUCAGGAAGAACACCCGUGGCGAAAGCGGCUCUCUGGAACGGUACUGACGCUGAGACGCGAAAGCAUGGGGAGCGAACGGG